AUUUAAAUAGUUUAUAAAAAAUUUUAAUUUGUGGAGUUAAAGAUAAAACUAUAGUUUUUUUAAAUA
rnacentral:tRNA from 1 species